GUGAGGUAUGGCCUGAUCUCAUCGAGUACCUGCCAUUGGGUGAAAGGAAGUAAUUUUCAAAUAUGUACCUUUAGUUGCUCCAGCUACUGGUUUUCGCCCAUAUUAUGGAAAGGGCAAAUAAAUGUUAGAUAAAUCGUCUCAAGGUGUAGGACAAUGUGCAACAAGGAGACAUUGUAUAAUGUCUAACAAUUACUUGCACUAUUAUAUUUAUUUGGAAUUGUAGAUGUUGAUAAUUUUUAAUAUAAAUUUAGUCAAAGUUUACAACGUUUUUACUUAAGAGAAACCUAAUACGCAGAGUAAAAGGAAACGGAGGGAGUACAUGUUCUGCAUUCUGUAUUGGAAUGUCAUUCUAAGCAAGAAUGAACGACAAACCAACCACAUGGAACAGUCAUCAAUGUGCCACAAAAUUAAACGGACAAAUCGCAGAUCCUCUUAUCAAAAGAAGAUGGACGGCGAUACCGUCCAUGGCAGGAAGGUUGUUGCUCCGGUAUAUAGUCCCCACACCCCAGAAUGGUAUGUGAAAUUAAAGACAACACACUAUAUGCUGUUGCAUAAAAAGAAGAACCGGAACACUAGCAUUCUAUUUGAAGAUAACAACCUAGUUUUAUCUACUAUCUACUACCACUAUAAAAGAGAGAGAGGGCGGAGAAUCAAAUCAUCCUAUCCAUCGAACCCUGUAAUCUAAUGGUCUACAUCACUCCAACAUACUAAACGUAUUUUACGCUUUAAUUACCCAUCAUGCCAUUACCCUAUCUACUCGCUAACCAAACCCGGUACCCCACAGCUCGCCCCUCUCUCGCAUGUCUCUCUCGCACGCCCGCUCGACCACGCCUCUCUCCCGCACACCUCUCUCCCGCACACCUCUCUCUCUCGCCUAACCAACCUCUCGACCAUGCCCUGCCGCCGCUCCAACCUCUCGGCCCCGCCGCCGCCCCUUCUCGGCCUCGCCGCCGCCCCUUCACGCCGGCGGCCACGGCCCCGACGGGCGCAGCAGCACACCCCCGAUGGUCGAGCGGCACCUCCGCCGCAGGGGGGCCGGGCCGCAGCAGCACGCCCACUCCGCUCCAACCUCUCGGCCCUGCCGCCGCUCACCCCGCCGCCGCCCCUUCUCGGCCUCGCCGCCGCCCCUUCACGCCGGCUCACAGCCUGAACGGAGCCCCAGUUGGCUCGCCCUUGCUCUCCACCUGUGGCGCCGGUGGCGUGUGCGCAACGGAUGAGGCCCCGCACUCGCGCCGCGGCAGUGCGGAUGGAGCUCCGCCGAGUCCAUGAGCUCCCGAGCCGGGCGACGGCGCGUAUUGAUCUGAAAAAGGCCACCAACCCAUAUUAUAAUAUCCUUUGAUAUCAAGUUCUAGCUGUACAUUAACCAAAGCAUCUCUUUUCUGAUCAGUUAUACAUCAAUCAAAGCAUCACUUUUCUGAUCAAUUAAGGAAAACAUGUCAGGAUGGUUGAUGCUUGAUGCAACGGGAGUCACAUGUGUAUUGCCGACAGUUUCAAUUUAAUCGGGCUUCCGACUGGAGGAACAGAAGCGACUCUCUAUUCUCCAGCCAUUAAGUUCAUUACUGAAUAACAAAAUCAGCUUCAGACCUAAGGUUUGAUCAGGAAAAUUCAGCUAGGUCUAUCUAUGUACAUUGGUCUUAAUUUUUUUAGAUGAGCAAACUGUCUACUUCCAUAGGAAGUGGAUGGGAUGAUCUACAUGGCCUCCUGCAGCACCGGAUUCAAGGAAUCAGUACAACAGUGUGGCCUCUUACUAGACAGUUUUCUUCUCUCUGUUUUCAAGAAUGCUAGACACUUUUCAGUUUUCUUUGAUGUUGAUCAAAAUAUUUAAAUAUUUGGAUGCGUUUUCUUGAAUACAGGUCUGAUCUUUGAUUAUCUGCAUAGUAUAUCUAACCACUCUGACUUUCCUUUAUUAUCAAGAUGCAUCAAACCGCCAUCCCCUCCGAGAGGAAGGCCAACUCAAGUAGCAUCCAUGUACAAGAAUUUCUGUAAUGUAGUUAUGUGAACUAGAGGUGUGGUUUAGCAAUGUACCUCAUACACUGCUGGUUGAUGACAAAGAUAUGUCAGGUUUGCCUUGAUUAUAUUAUAAAUUACUCAAAUCUUUUUAGAAACAGGAAAGGUAAGUUUAAAUUGCAUAAAACAGGAAAGCGAACGAGUAGUUUGUAGUGUUGAAAUAAAAUCAGAACUUAAAACAUAUGGGUUUUACAAGCAUCACUGCUUGAACAUGCAAAAGAUAAAUAACAGCUAAAGUUUCAUGGACUACACCAGUUUCCACAGCUAAAAUGUCUACCAUUGUUGAAUCUCUAUUUCUGUGGAGUAGCAUGUUUUGGGGCAUACUUACUUACAUACUUUGUUCCUUUAGAGUAAUAUAAUCUUCUCGAGGUGUUAAUUCACUUAUUUUUCACACAUGAUGAAUCCAUAGUUGUUCGAUUUAGCCAGAAUAAUCUCUUCUUUGUUAAUAAUAGUUUUAUAUAACAUUACUUAUAUCAGGUCAAGUAGCCUCUCAUAAUGAAAUACAGCAUUUUUUUGUCGAUCUCUCUUGAAAUGAUUGUUUACAGAUAAAAUUAUUUGUAGAGAUGGAGGACCUCGUAACCGACCAUGUUGGGAGCUUGUGAAGAAAUAGUAUGUUGCUGUAUGGAGGAAUCCUUUAAAUAACUCAUGCUAUUUUCGUUUCAGAUGCAACCUUCAACUACAGAAGUUUCAGUUUCCUGAUUGCCGGUUUCUUCUUUGCGAGUCUUCCUUUUUCUUAUGUUCACAAGGUGUACCAUUGUCUAUAGUAUUUGCCAAGUUUAAUCGAAUGUCUAGAUAAAAUGUUUUGCAUGGCAGGAAAUAAGCAAGUAGGUAUUUGAAGGUGAACUUUGUAUGAAUCCUCCGGCUCCCGCCUACCCAUUCUUCAAUGAGUUAGUAUCCUCAAGUCACGAUGUAUCAAUUUUGCCAUGCAAGACGUUAUGAUAAAAUAGAGGAUGUAGAAUGACCA